GUGCUCUCUUCAGUAGCACAGAGACUAAAAAUGAAGCAAUACAAAGAUUAACAUGGCCCCCGUACAAGGGUGACCCACACAUCUGUAAAGUGUCCCAUAAAAAA
ensembl:snRNA U6 U6 spliceosomal RNA